UACGUAGGGGGCAAGCGUUGUCCGGAAUCAUUGGGCGUAAAGCGCGUGUAGGCGGCCCGAUAAGUCCGCUGUGAAAGUCCAGGGCUCAACCCUGGAAUGCCGGUGGAUACUGUCGGGCUCGAGUCCGGAAGAGGCGAGUGAAAUUCCUGGUGUAGCGGUGAAAUGCGCAGAUAUCAGGAGGAACACCGAUGGCGAAGGCAGCUCUCUGGGACGGUACUGACGCUGAGACGCGAAAGCGUGGGGAGCGAACAGG
rnacentral:rRNA from 1 species